rnacentral:rRNA from 1 species
GGGUCAGUAGGUUGGUCGUGCCACCGGUACGUACUGGUCUCACUGAUUCCUCCUUCCUGAAGAACCGUAAUGCCAUUAAUUUGGUGUUGCGGGGAAACAGGACUGUUACUUUGAAAAAAUUAGAGUGUUUAAAGCAAGCUAACGCUUGAAUACAUUAGCAUGGAAUAAUGAAAUAGGACGAUCGAUCCCAUUUAGUUGGUUUCUAGGAUUGACGUA